UACGAAGGGUGCAAGCGUUACUCGGAAUUACUGGGCGUAAAGGGUGCGUAGGUGGUUUUUUAAGUCCGUUGUGAAAUCCCUGGGCUCAACCUGGGAAUGGCAGUGGAUACUGGAAAGCUAGAGUGCGGUAGAGGGUAGUGGAAUUCCCGGUGUAGUGGUGAAAUGCGUAGAUAUCGGGAGGAACACCAGUGGCGAAGGCGGCUAUCUGGGCUGCAACUGACGCUGAGGCGCGAAGGUCAGGGGAGCAAACGGG
rnacentral:rRNA from 1 species